CUGGAUCAGGUUGCCAUUUCCUUCUCCAAUGCAUGAAAGUGAAAAGUGAAAGUGAAGUUGCUCAGUCGUGUCUGACUCUUAGUGACCCCAUGGACUGCAGCCUACCAGGCUCCUCCGUCCAUGGGAUUUUCCAGGCAAGAGUACUGGAGUGGGGUGCCACUGCCUUCUCCAACAGACAAGAUCUAUUAGGCCAGGAAUUGGGGGAAGAAACACUUUGGGGGGCUCGCCAAGGAGACACUGGGAGUGGAUUCUCCUACCGUGGGACCCUGCAGGACCCCUGACCCUACGUGCCACCCCGCGGGACCGAGCCGCAACCCGGCGGAAGCACCGCCCCACCACUCCGUCAGUGACCCGGGACGAACCUUCCAGUCUGGCUCCACGCAGCUCUGGGAACCUGCACUCGGGCCACCAAAGCAUGAGUUUCAGGGACAGGCCCGCCCUUUCCUGUUUCUCAGGCUUGUGGUUGCAACGAGCUGGCUGCUCCCCCAGCUGUGACCCUGCUCGGGCAGCCCCCCGUGGGUGGCAGCUUCCCACAGGGCUCUGGGGUGCGGGAAACGUUGAAAGAAUCACACUUUACCAAGUAGUCUUCUUCAUUUAUCGACAUUGAACAAAAACUGAAACCACAUUUACGUCUAACUUCUGCAGGCUGGGGGACCUCGGGGAAAAGGGACCCUCUGACCUGACUCUCAGAAGGCAGACGGGGGCAUGGAGAGAUGGAGUCUGCCCCAUGUGCUGAAAUCUUGUGACCGAGAGAAGAGGAGCUGGUGUUCACAGAGGACCCCACUCAGCACCAACUGGGCUCCUCAACCUGGCAUGUUCAGUGAGAUCCCAGAGCCAGGAGCAUAUUUGAAGUCAUACUCCAAAUUCAGACACCUUGGUCACGGUUAACUAGACAUUCUCCCCGGUGUAUUUGAAGAAUAUUACAAUCUGGUCAAACUGUUCUUGUUAAGAGGAUUCUCUAACUAGACACCUUUAGGAAUGUACUUUCAAACUGUUUUCUCAGUGGGCAGCAUUAGUCACAAAUAGUCUUUCUACUGAAUCACAGGAUCAUGCCUUC
rnacentral:lncRNA from 1 species